ensembl:lncRNA
GUUGGUGCAGUGGUUGCUAAAGACACAGUUUUUGUGCUUUGAGAUACAAAUGCAGUUGGAGCUGGAUUUUGUGUUUCUGAAAGACUAGUCAGAGUCACUGCAUUUGUUGUUGCAUUUAGCAAAGAUGUGGUUGUUAGAAAUGAUUUUGUAAAUUCUGACAACAUUGGUAUGGUUGUGGGUGUAACAAAUGUUGUUUCUGCAGCAGUUAUGUUUUUUGUGAAAAGUGGUAUUGUGGUUGGAGAUACGGUUGUUGUGCUUGGUGAUACAAGAGAAGUUGAAGAUAUUGAAGGAAGUGUUGAGGUAAGGACACCAUUUUCUGUUGCUGGAGGUGCAAUUGUAGGUCCUGAGAAAACAUGCAAGGAAGUGGGUGCCACAUCUGUGGUUGUAUAAGCUUUAGUGACUGAGGAGGGUGUUGGAGCAGCACUUAUUGUUCUUAUCGGUGGACUUGUAUUUGCUGAGGAGAAAGGUGUGGAUGUGGGGUACAGGUCUGUAAUUGUAGAAGCGUCAGUUGUUGAAGUUACUGCUGUUGUUGGUGGUGCAGUAUUUGUUGUAGGUUCUGGAAAUACAGACAUGGUUGUAGGAUUCACAGCUGUGGUUGUAGAAGCUUCCCUUGUUGAAGACCGUGCUGUUGUUGCUAGAGCCACAUUUUCUGUUGCUGGAGGUGCAGUUGUAGGUUCUGGGAACACAGGCAUGGUUGUGGGGUUUAUUGCUUUGGUUGUUAAAGUUUCAUUUGUUGUUGACAAUGGUGUUGUUGGAGCAGCUUUUGCUGUUAUUUUGGUUUCUGAUUGGGUUCACAGCUUGGGUAGCAGAAGCGUUAGUUGUCAAAGACAAUGGAGUUGUUGUUGAAGCAGCAUUUUCUGUUGCUGGAGGUGCAGAGAACACAGGCAUGGUGGUGGGGUUCCCAGCUGUGGUUGUAUAAGCUUCCGUUGUUAUUGCUGAAGAUGGUGUCUUUGUUGGAGCAGCAUUUUCUGUGGUUGUGGGGCUAUCAGUUGUGGUUUUAUAACCUUCAGUGGUCAAAUGUUGUGCUGUUUCAGCAUUUGUUGUUGUUGUAGGUGCAGUUGCUGAGGAUAUAAGAGUGGUUGUGGGGUUCACAGCUUUGGUAGUAGAAGCUUCAGUUGUCGAAGGCCGUGGAGUUGUUGUUGGAGCAACAUUUUCUGUCACUGGAUGUAGAGAGAAUACAGGCAUGGUUGUGGGGUUUCUGGCUGCGAUUGUUGAAGCUUCAGUUGUUGAAGAUUGUGCAGUUGCAGUUGGUGAAGAUAUGAUUGUGGUUGUGGGGGUCACAGCUGUGGUUGUAUAAGCUUCACUUUUAAUUGUUGACAAGGGUGUCUCUGUUGGAGCAGCAUUUUCUGUUGCUGUAGGUACUGAGAAUACAGGCGUUAUUGUGGGAUUCACUGCUGUGGUGGUUGUAGCUUUAUUUGUUGUUGACAAUGGUGUUGUUGGAGAAGUUGUUGUUUUAGAUUCUGAAGAAAUAAGAGUGGUUGUGGGGUUCACAGCUGUGGUUGUAUAACCUUCAGUGGUCAAAGAUUGUGCUGUAGCAGCAUUUGUUGUUGUUGUAGGUGCAGUUGCUGAGGAUAUAAGAGUGGUUGUGGGGUUCACAGCUUUGGUAGUAGAAGCUUCAGUUGUCGAAGGCCGUGGAGUUGUUGUUGGAGCAACAUUUUCUGUCACUGGAUGUAGAGAGAAUACAGGCAUGGUUGUGGGGUUUCUGGCUGCGAUUGUUGAAGCUUCAGUUGUUGAAGAUUGUGCAGUCGCAGUUGGUGAAGAUAUGAUUGUGGUUGUGGGGGUCACAGCUGUGGUUGUAUAAGCUUCACUUUUAAUUGUUGACAAGGGUGUCUCUGUUGGAGCAGCAUUUUCUGUUGCUGCAGGUACUGAGAAUACAGGCGUUAUUGUGGGAUUCACUGCUGUGGUGGUUGUAGCUUUAUUUGUUGUUGACAAUGAUGUUGUUGGAGAAGCUGUUGUUUUAGAUUCUGAAGAAAUAAGAGUGGUUGUGGGGUUCACAGCAGUGGUUGUAUAACCUUCAGUGGUCAAAGAUUGUGCUGUAGCAGCAUUUGUUGUUGUUGUAGGUGCAGUUGCUGAUGAUAUAAGAGUUUUUGUGGGGUUCACAGCUUUGGUAGUAGAAGCUUCAGCUGUCGAAGACAGUGGAAUUAUUGUUGGAGCAGAAUUUUCUUUUGAUGUAGGUAUUGAGAAUACAGGCAUAGUUGUGGGAUUCACUGCUGUGGUGGUUAAAGCUUCAUUUGUUUUUGAAAAUGUUGUUGUUUGAGCAGUAUUUGCCGUGGUUGUAGUUUCUAAGAAUAUAACAGUGGUUGUGGAGGUCACAGCUGUGGUUGUAUAACCUUCAAUGGUUGAGGAUGGUGUUGAAGCAGCAGUUGUUCUAGGAGCAGUUAUUGAGGAUAUAAGAGUGUUUGUGGGGGACACAGCUGUAGAAGCUUCAGUUGUCGAAAACAGUGCAACUUCAUCUGUUGCUGUAGAUGCAAAGAAUACAGGCAUGGUUGUGGGGUUCAGAUCUGCAGUUGUUGAAACUUCAGUUGUUAAAGAUGGUGCUGUUGUUGUUGUUGAAGCAGCAUUUGUUACUGUUGAAGGUGCAGUUGUACUUGGUGAAGACAUGAGUGUGGUUGUGGAAGCCUCAGUUUCUGUAGAUGGUGCUGUUGUUGUUGUACUUCGUGAUGAUAUGAGAGUGGUUGUGGGGGUCACCUCUGUAGUUGUGGAAGCUUCAGUUUCUGUUGAUGGUGCUGUUGUUGUUGUACUUCGUGAUGAUAUGAGAGUGGUUGUGGGGGUCACCUCUGUAGUUGUGGAAGCUUCAGUUUCUGUUGAUGGUGCUGUUGUUGUUGUUGAAGCAGCAUUUGUUGCUGGUGAUGGUGCAGUUGUACUUUGUGAGGAUAUAAGUGUGGUUAUGGGGAUCACAUCUAUGGUUGUGGAAGCUUCAGUUUCUGUUGAUGGUGCUGUAGUUGUUGUACUUAGUGAGGAUAUCAGAGUGGUUGUGGGGGUCACCUCUAUGGUUGUGGAAGCCUCAGUUUCUGUUGAUGAUGCUGUUGUUGUAUUUAGUGAGGAUAUCAGAGUGGUUGUGGGGGUCACCUCUAUGGUUGUGGAAACAUCAGUUUCUGCUGAUGGCUCUGUUGUUGUUGUACUUGGUGAGGAUUAAGAGGGUUUGGGGAUCACAUCUAUGGUUGUGGAAGCCUCAGUUUCUGUUGAUGUUGCUGUUGUUGUUGUACUUGGUGAGGAUAUGAGAGUGGUUGUGGGGGUCACCUCUAUGGUUGUGGAAGCUUCAGUUUCUGUUGAUUGUGCUGUUGUUGUAUUUAGUGAGGAUAUCAGAGUGGUUGUUGGUGUCACCUCUGUAGUUGUGGAAGCUUCAGUUUCUGUUGAUGGUACUGUUGUUGUACUUCGUGAUGAUAUGAGAGUGGUUGUGGGGGUCACCUCUGUAGUUGUGGAAGCUUCAGUUUCUGUUGAUGGUGCUGUUGUUGUUGAACUUCGUGAUGAUAUGAGAGUGGUUGUGGGGGUCACCUCUCUAGUUGUGGAAGCUUCAGUUUCUGUUGAUGGUGCUGUUGUUGUUGUACUUGGUGAGGAUAUGAGAGUGGUUGUGGUAGUCACCUCUUUGGUUGUGGAAGCUUCAGUUUCUAUUGAUGGUGCUGUUGUUGUAUUUAGUGAGGAUACCAGAGUGGUUGUGGGGGUCACCUCUAUGGUUGUGGAAACUUCAGUUUCCGUUGACGGUGCUGUUGUUGUUGAAGCAGCAGCAUUUGUUGCUGUUGAAGGUGCAGUUGUACUUGGUGAGGAUAUAAGUGUGGUUGUGGGGAUCACAUCUAUGGUUGUGGAAGCCUCAGUUUCUGUUGAUGGUCCUGUUGUUGUUGAAGCAGCAUUUGUUGCUGUUGAAGGUGCAGUUGUACUUGGUGAGGAUAUAAGUGUGGUUGUGGGGAUCACAUCUCUGGUUGUGGAAACCUCAGUUUCUGUUGAUGGGGCUGUUGUACUUGGUAAGGAUAUGAGAGUGGUUGUGGUAGUCACCUCUAUGGUUGUGGAAGCUUCCGUUUCUGUUGAUGGUGCUGUUGUUGUUGUACUUGGUGAGGAAAUGAGAGUGGUUGUGGUGGUCACCUCUAUGGUUGUGGAAGCUUCAGUUUCUGUUGAUGGUGCUGUUGUUGUUGAAGCAGCAUUUGUUACUGUUGAAAGUGUAGUUGUACUUGGUGAGGAUAUAAGUGUGGUUGUGGGGGUCACCUCUAUGGUUGUGGAAGCGUUGGUUUCUGAUGAUGGUGCUAUUGUUGUACUUGGUGAGGAUAUAUGUGUGGUUGUGGGAAUGACAUCUAUGGUUGUGGAAGCUUCAGUUUCUGUUGAUGGUGCUGUUGUUGUUAAAGCAGCAUUUGUUGCUGUUGAUGGUGCAUUUGUACUUGGUGAGAAUAUGAGAGUGGUUGUGGGGAUCACAUCUGUGGUUGUGAAAGCUCCAGUUUCUGUUGUCAUUGAAAAUGACAUUGCUGUUUGACCUGUAGCUGUUGCUGAAGAUACAUUUUCUGUAGGAGCCUCAGUUGUAGAUGCAAUUGAUAUUGAAUCAGUAGUUGUUGGAGAUGUAGUUGUGAAAGUCGCAGCUAUGCAUGUAUUUUGUUUGAGGAUCAUAGCUGUGGUAAGAGAUGCUUUAGUUCUUAUUAUACAAACUUCACUGGCUGUUGAAAUUGGUGUUGUUGGUGUUAUGGAGGUUGUACCUCCACAAACAAUGCACCAUACAUAUACUGUCAAGAAAAAAAAAAAAAAAAGAAAAAAAAAUCAUUUAAUUGCUGUAUUAACUUUUGACCAUUUGAAAUUUAAAUUACACUAUUAUCAAAUUCCAUGAACAUUUUAAUAGCAUUUGAUUACGUCACAUUUUUAUUUAACAAUUUCUCAACACAAAAUAUCCAGAUUAAGAGUAUACGUACAUAUGGUGAGGAAUACGGUCCAUC